rnacentral:rRNA from 1 species
AUUGAACGCUGGCGGCAGGCCUAACACAUGCAAGUCGAGCGGAUGAGAGGAGCUUGCUCCUCGAUUCAGCGGCGGACGGGUGAGUAAUGCCUAGGAAUCUGCCUAGUAGUGGGGGACAACGUUUCGAAAGGAACGCUAAUACCGCAUACGUCCUACGGGAGAAAGUGGUGGAUCUUCGGACCUCAUGCUAUUAGAUGAGCCCAGGUCGGAUUAGCUAGUUGGUAGGGUAACGGCCUACCAAGGCGACGAUCCGUAACUGGUCUGAGAGGAUGAGCAGUCACACUGGAACAGAGAAAGGGUCCAGAGUCCUACGGGAAGCAGCAGUGGGAAAUAGUGGACAAUGGGCGAAAGCCUGAUCCAGCCAUGCCGCGUGUGUGAAGAAGGCCCUCGGGUCGUAAAGCACUUUAAGUUGGGAGGAAGGGCUUACAGCGAAUACCUGUGAGUUUUGACGUUACCGACAGAAUAAGCACCGGCUAACUUCGUGCCAGCCGCCGCAGUAA